rnacentral:lncRNA from 1 species
AUCCAUAUCUUUCCUUCUUCCCCUUCUUGUUUCAGCUUCUUCAGGUUCAGAAUUUGGAUCCACCUGAGAAGACACCUUUGAUAUUUAGUUCACCUAUUAGCACUCUUGGUAAUAAAUUACGACCCUUGGUCAAAGCCACACCAAAGCAUCUGACAUAGGUGAAAGAUAUAAGCAUAACAUGGGGUUCCUCUUUCAUAACUUAUAUAUGCACUUGAAUAAAACAACUUUAUACGGAACCUGAUAGGUUAACUUGGGCUUCCAUCGUAAUUGUUGAUUUUUUUUCCCCUAACUUUCAAAAACUUGCAAUUUUGGCCCCCUGAGUAAAGAAACUAUAAUUUUAGUCCCCUAAGAUUUAGCCGCAUUGCAACUUUAAUCUUUUUGGUCAAUUUUGACUGGUCAAUGCCUACGUGGCACGCCACGUGUGUAAUUAUUUAAUUAAAAAAAAUUAAAAAACAAUACUAUCAUUUUUUAAAUUAAUUAAAUGAAUAAAAUUAAAAAAAUCAGAAAAAAAAUUAAAAAUAAAACCCAAAUCUUCAUCUUUUAUUUGUUCUUCCUCUCAAUCUCAAGAACAACAACAACAAUUGACCCUGCAUCUCAUAGAUCCAUGUACACCAAUUGACCCUUAUUCUUUUUCUUCUUCCAUCUCUUUUUCUGACCAUCAUCAAUUCCAACAACAACCACCCAAAAAAGGACAUACAUGGAAGAAGGAGGAGAGUGGUUUUUAUAUAUCGUCCAAUGAUAUAUAUCAGAAGCAAGAAAAAGAGUGGUUUUUAUCAUUAAACAGAAAAUUAAAGCUUAAGCCAUGUCCACCUUUCUACAAUGUUCUCUUUCGCAUGAAAGCUUCUAUUCAUUCCCUAUGCUUAUUUCUCUUUUCCUUAUUCCUUAUUUCUCUUUUCUUCAUCAUCAAUCAAGUGUUGGUAUUAUUUUCAACAAUUCUUCUAUCACAUAAAAAAACCUACACCCUCCGGUCACUAUUAUAAGCAAAAAACCAUAUUUUAGGUUCAUUCAUUAAAUGUUGUAUGUAACCUAAAUAUAGACCACAUACAACAUUUAAUGAAUGAACCUAGAAAAUGAAUUUUUGCUUAUAAUAGUGACCGGAGGGUGUACCUCCUUCACUUCCAAGAAAAUUAGAUAAUCCAGGGAGAGGGAUCUGGGAUUGAAGGAGAGAGAGAGGGAGAAAUUUAGUUUUUAAUUUAAUUUUUCAUUUGUUUAAUUUAAAAAGAGGAUAAUAUGAUUAUUUUUUUAAUUCAAUCGUUACACACAUGACAUGUCACGUAGGCAUUGAUCGGUCAAAAUUGGUCAAAAGGAUUAAAGUUGCAAUGGGGCUAAAAUUUAGAGGGUCAAAAUUGUAGUUUCUGUAUUUAGGGGGCCAAAAUUGCAUGUUUUUAAAAGUUAGGGAGGGAAAGUGCACUUUAGCUUAAUGGUAAAAAUUUUGAAAAGUAAAGAUCUAUAAUAGUGAAUAUAUGAUUUUUCAAUGCAAGGUAAAUUCUCAAAAUAAAUUAGCAUUAAUAUUUGGGCUCUUUUAAGUUUUCUAAAGGAUAAGAACCUACAGAUAUCACGUUAAAGCAUGAACAAGUUGUUUUUUAUGAUGCUUAAUAAUAGCAACUAGUCAAGUAUAUUUCUUUUAUGCCUUGCUUGCAGGACUAAAAGAUCACAAAUUUGCAAAGUUUGCGGUAGUACACUCCCAAAUGAAAGCAGUGAAGCAAAUAUGAAGGUAUCACCAUCUUUCUAUGCAUCUGUAAUUACUCAAAUUCCUCAAGUAUAUUGUUAACGAAAUAUGUAACGUGCAUUAUUUGUGAAAUUGGUAGGUAGUAUUAUUUAUGAGGAAAUUGGUGGUUGUCUCAAAAGAAGAUAUUCUAACCGUAGGAACAUUGGUGUGGAAGAUUGAUUCAAUUGGUGCAAAUGAUUUAUUUAAAAGCUGAAGCAUAUUUAAAACAAUAAGGAUCAUGGAAGCUACUGUAAUGAUCAAGGGUUCCAAGGGAAAUCUCUUAUAAAUAACUUCCCCUUUUUUAAUAAGAAUUUUUAUGUGUAAAUUGGGUAAUCUCUACUUGUAGUAAAUAUUAAUCUCUUGAUUGAUGAUUGAUGUAGGACUAUAAUUAGUGGCAACGAUCUCUCUCAAUAGUUUCAUCAAUGUUGCACGGAUGUAGUAUCAAAAGUAAGUAUAAUUUUGUAUCAUUUCUAAACGAACUAGUGCGAUAUUUAAGCCGUUCAACAAUUGAUAUCGUUUUAAGUGAUGGGUUUAUAAUUUGUUUGUUUAGAAAACCUAAUAGAACUAUAGUGAAAUAAAUAAAAUUGAGUUUAGCAAAGAGAUAAGUUUAUCGGGAUUAAACUUCAUAAAACUAUUGCAUAUGCACUCUCAUGAUUAGAACCACCGAUCUUAGUUUUAUUCGAUAUUUUCACAUAUUGCUCGACAAACGUUAUUUAUGUCUAAAUAAAGUCGUGGGUUCGGUCAUAUUGAUUAAUCAACGAUUUCUUAGCCUAUUAGUCAAUAAGAAAGCAUUGUGAUUCAAUACUUGAGUGAAUAUUAAGACCAAACCCUAUUUUUAGAAUUUAGUACUCAAUAGAUGUUAUCCUAGUCUAGAUUUAAAAGAUACUUUUCAAUAUGCAUUCAAAUCAUAUGAUUAAAGCAAUAAACUCAAUAACAACAUCAAUAUCAUGAAUAAACUAGAAUCAUGUAAUUGCAUAAUCAAGAGAAGUACAAACUUAGAAUUAUUGAUUACCUUUAAUCCCAACAAAAAGGUAAAUUAUUUACUCAUUGUCAUGGAAGAUUUACAAAUUUCGAUGAGAAGAGAUGAAUUGGUUUGCUAUCCAUCCUUGAUUUAUCAAGAAAUGUUGUUAAUCCACCUUCAAUCCUUCCCAAUUGAUGUUCCUUCCUCUUUCUCUCUACUUUUUGCUCUAGAGUAAGUGAUUGAUCCCAGCUGAAAUGCAACAAAAGCUAUUUAUACAAUGUCUGAAGCAUUUUUCACUAGUGGGUUUCUUCCAUAUCAGCAAAGUGGCCCUCAAAUCGCCUUAGCUCGCCAUGGUGAGCUCAUGUCUCGAUCAUCCAUGCCCUGGUUUGCAGUAUUUCCAUGCUCUCAGCUUAUCUUCGCUGGGACUCCGCUGCAGGCUUGCCGUAGUGAACCUAAUGGCCAUGACCUUGCUGCUAGAUCGCUUGGCCACACCUGAACUUCUGAUUUUGGGUUAUUUAUGCCUACCUUCGCUGGGGGAUCGUUGUGGCGAGCCUCUAGUUGUACUUUUCCUUCUUUCUAUGAUCAUUAAGUCCCUUGGCAAGUAAAUUUCUUCAUAAAUGGUUGGUAUUAGUCAUAAAAGGCAUAAAGUAGCAUUGAUCUAUUAAUUUGAAGUUUUUCAUGAGAUAACUUGCAAAAUAAGUAACUAAAAUGUCUAAAAUAUAUAUGCAAGUUAACUAAUUUCCGGUACUUAUCAUGCACUUCAAUGGGUGAGUUUAAACACAGUACAUCUCACGAAGAGAUCUGAGUUUUAUGAACCAAUUCCUUCAAAUCUAAUGUCAAAUCAUUUAAAAUAUUUGAAUUAUUCUUAAAAUUUUAAUGCCAUCUGAAGGUAGUAUUAUGUUACACGUAUAUCUAAUCAAAUUUCACCAUAUGUAGACAUUUAUAGAGUUUUUUUUUUUGAGGAAAGACAUUCAUAGCGAUGUUUUAUGAAGUAAAAAUUGACACAAUAUUAUGACUUUGUUGAACACAUAUUUGAAAACUUUUACGCAAAUAGUGCAUAGAAAUUAAUCUCUUAUAGUUGAAUUGGAGUGAAAAUUUCGUACCAAUCAUAUGGUAACCUAAAAAGAAAUUUAUCUCUUAAAAAUUGGAUUGCUCACAAUUUUUUAAUAAUAAUAAUAAGUACCCCUUCAAUUUUAAAUAUAAGAAAAAAAAUAAAGUGGAAUGUUUUUCGUCUAAACUAGGAUCAAAUACACAAUUGACUUUUUUAUUGUAUUAAAUAACCCAUAAAUGAAAAUUCUUCAAUUCACAAAAUAAUAACAUCCUUAAAUAACUAGUAUUAUAAAAACACAAUAUAUUUUCAAAAAAGUGUGGUCAAACCUUUAUAUAGAACAUCCUUAAAUUUAAGAAAAAUAAAAUUGGUCAAAUCUAUUUCGUCAAAAUUCUGAUCAGAUACAUUUGACUUUUUCUUAUGACUAUAAUAAAAAAUAUUUCAAUUUAGUAUAUAUCCUCAAAAUAUAAAAUAUUAAAAAAAAAUAUCCUUCCUUCCACACGUAAAUUACCAUUUGUUUCAAACCGAGAAGGUACAUUGUCUUAAUCCUUGUUACUUAUUAAUAGCCUCAGUAUCUUACAAUUUCAAUCCAAAUAAAAAUAUAUCUCUCACUCAUUUAAUGACAUGGGUUAUUACACAGCAAUCCAAAACAAUGCGUACUAUUCCAGAAUCGAUUCAAGUUCAUCUUCAUCAUAACUCAAUGGCAAAUCUUGUCAUUAGGUUGGUUUUCUAAGAUUCUUUGGUUUUUCAUUAAAUCGUCAUUUUCAUUUUCUAUUGAUUUGAUUCAGCUCCUUUGUAUUGUUUGAGGAUGUAGUUGGAUGAAAACAUAUUAAUAAUCUACAUUGUGAUUCCAUGCCCUUUUUUAAAGCUCUAAGUUCAUGUGAAAAGUUUAAAAAAAAAAAAAAAAAUCUUUAAUGGGUUGUAGGAGGAUGAUUUUAAAGCUCUAUGACAUUUGAUGCACUGAGUAAUUAGAUUUUGCAACAAUGUAUUUUGUUCAUCUAAAUCAUUUUUAAAUUCUCCACUCCUCCAAUUUUGUGUGACGUUAAUGCUAACGUAUUUCCACCAUUUUUCAUAUAUUCCUCCAAUUAAUGGGUUGUCCUUAAUAUUAAGGUUUGCUCCAUUGAAGCCUUUAAUUCAAUUUUUUUGUGAAAUCUCCUUGAGGAUCUAUAGAUCUCCAUUCUAGAGCUUGAGCUAGAAAGAACAGGGCAUAAGGUAAGGGUUUUUUCUUCAUAUAUUCAUACAAGUGGUAAGGGUUUUUCUGUUUACAUUCUUUACUUGAUAGCUUAAUUUCUAAAAUACAUUGUCAUACAUUUCUUUUAUUUCCUUAUAUUUUUUAGGUCUAGGAACUAUUAAAGCGAUUUUGUGAAAUCCAAUAUCUGAAAAACCAUUGUUAUUAGAGAAGUUUGAGAAGAAACUUAUCAACCAUGGUUCCAUGAAUUAGAUUUCCCAGAGAAAUCCGAGAGGGGAAUAGAUAGAAGUUAAGUCCCAAAUUCACUACGGUGUGACGGUGAUUUCCAACUAAUAUGUGAAGUUGGUCCAUCAAGUUCGACAAAAAGUUCUUCUAUUCAAGUGGAAAUUAAAGCUAUGAAAAAGGAAGCCCAAGUUAAGCUCACAUCUUUCAUUUAUGUCAGAUGCUUUUUUGUGGAUUUAAACAAUAUAAUGAUUAAUUACUAAAAGUGUUGAUAGGUGAACUACAAUCAAACGCGGCGACUCUAGUGGAUCCAAAUUCUAAACUUGGAGAGACUCGAACAUGAAGGUGAAGAAGGAAAGAUAUAUAUAUAUAUAUAUAUAUAUAUAGGGGGCAUAUCACAUGAGAAUGGCUUUUGUAUGUGAGAAUGGUGAGAAUAAAUUGGAGCCGUUAGAUUAAAAUUGAUUGGUUGAAAUUAAAAAGCCUCAUUUAACAACAUGUGCCAAUGAAUCUAACUCAAUUCCUUCUCUCUUCUCUCUGUUAACCGUUCUUCUUCUUCCCUCAAUAGCUGAUGUUUCUUCUCCCCCCACUCAUCUAUUCCGGCAGCCCCAACACUCCCCGUCGCGAAUCACGCUGUUUUCACCAACCACCGCCGGUUUAUGAUCGGAAUCCCGCAGUCGCCACCUAUGUACCUACUUCAUCGCCACCUAUGUUCAUAUAUAUAGUGCAGUUCCUUCUUAAGGAACCAAGGUCAAUAUGCUUCCUAAUAAUAAAUUCACUUAGAUAGAACUAGCUCAUAGAUAUAUAUAGUGACCUUAUCUUAUCGAUGGAUGGUUACUUGAGUUUUCAGAAAUUACCUUUGUUUUUGGGUAUUUAAAAAAAUGGUAAUUUUCAAAGACAAAGUCACCUUCUGAAGACUCAAGGUUACCAUCCAUUGAUAAGAAUGUCUAGAUAUAUUUAAGAUCUUCUUCUGGCUAAGUCAAAUCAUUUAUAGUAAGCAUAUUGACAUUGGUUCAUUUAGUAAGAACUGCAUUAUCCAUAUCUUUCCUUCUUCCCCUUCUUGUUCCAGCUUCUUCAGGUUCAGAAUUUGGAUCCACCUGAGAAUACACCUUAGAUUUUUAGUUCACCUAUUAGCACUCUUAUUAAUAAAUUACGACCCUUGGUCAAAGCCACACCAAAGCUUCUGACAUAGAUGAAAGAUAUAAGCUUAACAUGGGGUUCCUCUUUCAUAACUUAUAUAUGCACUUGAAUAAAAUAACUUUUAUACGGAAUCUGAUAGCUUAACUUGGGCUUCCAUU